GUUAGUGUUCCCACAGCCAUAUCUUGAUGUUACAGCGCUUGUUUACGGAAGAGAAGAAGACAUAGGCAGCCACCUGUGCUAAUUAGCAAUCUAAUGCGCGCCAAACACCUGUGUGUCAGCUAACUGGGGAGGAAGGGUAGUUCGUCAACGGGAGGCACCAACAGUAUGGACACGUGCAACGCUGCUAAAUAGACGGUGAGAACUGGAGAUGACCACAGUCAUAACCUGAGAUCGAUACCUGACUCAAAGCAGAUUUAAUCAGGAGGUACCUCCCUCUUCACUGUGGUGGAAAUGCCAGCGGUGAUCUGGGAUAAAGAGGAUUCAGAGUCCUCCUCAGAGGACGAGCAAGAAGACCAUCCUUGCAUUGCCUGGAGUGGCCUCAGCAGGAAGGUCCCAGUCCUGGUGUUCUUUGCUGAAGCCAUCGUCUCUAAGGAUGACAACAUCUGUUCUGUUGGAGAUUGUGCACACGGAGAGCCGGCUGGUGCGUGGCAUGCUGACCAAUCAUGGAUUCCAUGAGGUCAUAUGAACUGAUGCGCAAAGACCGGCUGUAUAAAAACAUCCAGCGGAUGCAGCAGGCUCACGGCUUUAAAAACUUCCACAUCGUCCCUUAGACCUUUUGUGCUUCCCUCAGAGUACCAGGAGUUCUUCAGUUCUUUCAUCAAGGACAAGGGCCCUUGGAUCAUUAAGCCAGUAGCAUCUUCUUUAGGAUGAGGUAUCUACCUGGUCAGGGAUAUGCCAAAGGAAGAAUUCUGUACUGUUAAAGUGUUGCUGUGUUAUAGAUACACUCACCUUAAGUCUUGGAUAAUGACCUGAGCGAACUUGUGUUGUAAAUGAAACAAUAUGGCCAGUUACGUGUGUGUGUGUGUGUGUGGGGGGGGGGGUUCUGCUGAAAAAAAGUAUAAAACAGUGUGUGUCAUAGACAUUAAGCAUUGUUGAGUAAAUCACACACUUCAAGGCAUUGGCUUUGGAAGAGCUCCACAAGGUUCUCUGACUUGGACAAGCAAUAAACACUUUUUCUUUUGAGGUAUUUUUAUGAAACAGUGGAAAGAAUGUCAGGGUGAUAUUUGGAAAGAAGAAUGUUCAUUUGUUUUUUUCCCCUGAACUUUAGCCAGCCCUGAGGUUCGCAGCUCUCCACCUCCCCCAUCCCUCCUCAGCUUCAACACCUGCAACACAUUUUAGCCUCAUAAGUGACCCCACUCCUACCCACUGAUAGGGCUCUGAUAGACUGCUCUAUAGGAAGGGUUUUCUCUUUGAUUGGCGAAUGUCAUGUGUCUGACUUGAUCAUACUGUACCUGGUGCAUUAUGUGUUUUUAUAACAUAUAUAAUGCACCAGGUACAUAUAUUUGAUCCUCACCCUUCAAAGCCUAACCAGAUUCCAAUGGAUGACAACAUCUUAGUGUCUCGCUACAUCAAUAAUUAGUUUCUGAUUGAUGGUGGGUUUUUGCCCAUCAAGUGUUGUCACAUCAGUUACUCAUGUAGAUGAAGACAGUAGUCAGAAAAGCAGAAAUGUUGAUCUAUGUUUAAUAAGUAUGGAGAUAGAUACUCACGAUCUAUCUCCAUGAGGAGAGCCUGGCCAGGUGAGCUGUGUACUGGAUCUUUCCUUUUACAAAUAAUGGCCAAUGGUUCUAUAUUGGCUAUCUAAUCUGUAUUUGCCAGGUCAUAGAAUUGUAUAGUGGGUCAAGAGGUCCAUCUUGGAUAAUGGCUUUGCAAUUACUUUCUGUCCUCAUGAAAGUUGUGAAGAAAGGUACUGUAGCAACUGUAGUCAGGAACUUACAAGUUAAUGACCAGUAGAGGGCAGUCUCAACAUUUCUGUCUGCCACUGAUGAGUGGUAAGACUUGGUGGCGCUUUCAAACAAAGCUCUCCAUUGUCUCAAUGGUCAAACGGUCACCAGGAGAUGACAGGUUUAUUACACAUUGUAAUGAUAUUUUGCCGUAAUAAUCUUAUGAGUCUCAGAUUUAUACAUCUGCAGUGACAGACUACAAAUGAAAGUGUGUCUCAGCGACAAUGCUAUUUGCAAGAUGAGCAAUGUUUAGUUAUUUUCUAAUCAUAUUGGAUCAAUGAAGGCAUUGCACAAUAUAUAAUUUAGCUGUAUCUUUGCCUGGAGCCAGCUGUAUUACUAUAUUCUUAAGGAUGACUCAUUAAGAUAGUCAGGAUUCCGGUGGGUUUGGGUGCAGAGAUGGGUGGAUGAUGGAUUAAAUGGCUCAUCUCUGCUUGGCUUGUGACACACACACACACACACACACUGCUGUUCAUCGCACAACGUGCUUGAUUAUUAACUGAGGGUAAUAAAUCCAGGCUGAGUUGCAAAUACCACUUUUUUCUUUGACAUUCCAUUAUGUUUGAUGGUAUUCAGGUACUCACUGUAUGCCAAGGAAUCCUCAUUAUUCCACAUGUGGUGUCCAGUCCUCUUUAAUACACGACAAUAGGGGAAACAUAUCUCUGUUCUAAUAAUUGACCCUCUAUGGCUGUCAAAGAUCAAUCAUAUGAAUUACUGUAUUUAUUGUAAGUAAUCGUCACUGUGUAGAGAUCUGUUGUUAGUUUUGUUUUUGGAAAUUGUAUAUUACAGCAAAACACUGCCUACAGGUUUGCUGUAAUAUACAAUUUGAAGUACGACCGUGGCACAAAGAACAUCAAGAACCAGUUCAUGCAUCUCACUAACUACAGCGUAACCUGGGAUCUGCAGUCAACAGCCACUUCUCCAUUCUCCUUAAGGAAUCUCUCAAUUAAUAUGUAGCCAAUUGAGGGAGCAUGGAAUUGAGAAAACAGAGCAAAUCAUACAACUUUGUCUUGGGCAUUUGAAUGGUAUGUAUUUGAUUGUAAUGGGAAUUUUAUUGUUUGUGCUUUUCUUAUAACUAAUUUCUGUGUUAUAUUCAUGUGCUGUUCUAUAAACCAAUUUCUGUGU